UGGGGAAUAUUGAACAAUGGGGGAAACCCUGAUGCAGCGACGCCGCGUGAACGAAGAAGGUAUUCGUAUCGUAAAGUUCUGUCCUAUGGGAAGAUAAUGACAGUACCAUAGAAGAAAGCUCCGGCUAAAUACGUGCCAGCAGCCGCGGUAAUACGUAUGGAGCGAGCGUUGUCCGGAAUUAUUGGGCGUAAAGGGUACGCAGGCGGUUUAAUAAGUCGAAUGUUAAAGAUCGGGGCUCAACCCCGCAAAGCAUUGGAAACUGAUAAACUUGAGUAGUGGAGAGGAAAGUGGAAUUCCUAGUGUAGUGGUGAAAUACGUAGAUAUUAGGAGGAAUACCAGUAGCGAAGGCGACUUUCUGGACACAAACUGACGCUGAGGUACGAAAGCGUGGGGAGCAAACAGG
rnacentral:rRNA from 1 species